GAUGAACGCUGGCGGCGUGCCUAAUACAUGCCAGUCGAGCGAACAGAUGAGGAUCUUGCUCCUCUGACGUUAGCGGCGGACGGGUGAGUAACACGUGGAUAACCUACCUAUAAGACUGGGAUAACUUCGGGAAACCGGAGCUAAUACCGGAUAAUAUAUUGAACCGCAUGGUUCAAUAGUGAAAGACGGUUUUGCUGUCACUUAUAGAUGGAUCCGCGCGGCAUUAGCUAGUUGGUAAGGUAACGGCUUACCAAGGCGACGAUGCGUAGCCGACCUGAGAGGGUGAUCGGCCACACGGGAACUGAGACACGGUCCAGACUCGUACGGGAGGCAGCAGUAGGGAAUCUUCCGCAAUGGGCGAAAGCUUGACGGAGAAACGCCGCGUGAGUGAUGAAGGUCUGCGGAUCGUAAAACUCUGUUAUUAGGGAAGAACAAAUGUGUAAGUAACUAUGCACGUCUGGACGGUACCAAAUCAGAAAGCCACGGCUAACUACGU
rnacentral:rRNA from 1 species